GUGCUCGCUUCAGCAGCACAUAUACUAAAACCGGAACGAUACGGAGAUUUACGUGUCAUCCUUGCAUCCUCUGCACAAGGAUGACGUGUAAAAUACUUGGCUGAUCUAAAUGAAG
ensembl:snRNA U6 U6 spliceosomal RNA